AUUGAACGCUGGCGGCAGGCCUAACACAUGCAAGUCGAGCGGUAGAGAGGUGCUUGCAUCUCUUGAGAGCGGCGGACGGGUGAGUAAUGCCUAGGAAUCUGCCUAGUGGUGGGGGAUAAACGUUCGGAAACGGACGCUAAUACCGCAUACGUCCUACGGGAGAAAGCGGGGGAUCUUCGGACCUCGCGCCAUUAGAUGAGCCUAGGUCGGAUUAGCUAGUUGGUGAGGUAAUGGCUCACCAAGCCGACGAUCUGUAGCUGGUCUGAGAGGACGACCAGCCACACUGGGACUGAGACACGGCCCAGACUCCUACGGGAGGCAGCAGUGGGGAAUUUUGGACAAUGGGCGCAAGCCUGAUCCAGCAAUGCCGCGUGCAGGAUGAAGGCCU
rnacentral:rRNA from 1 species